AUUGAACGCUGGCGGCAGGCCUAACACAUGCAAGUCGAGCGGAUGAAGGGAUCUUGCUCCUGUAUUCAGCGGCGGACGGGUGAGUAAUGCCUAUGAAUCUGCCUGGUAGUGGGGGAUAACGUCCGGAAACGGGCGCUAAUACCGCAUACGUCCUGAGGGAGAAAGUGGGGGAUCUUCGGCUCUCACGCUAUCAGAUGAGCCUAGGUCGGAUUAGCUAGUUGGUGGGGUAAAGGCCUACCAAGGCGACGAUCCGUAACUGGUCUGAGAGGAUGAUCAGUCACACGGGAACUGGAACACGGUCAAGACUACUAAGGGACGGAGCAGUGGGGAAUAUUAGACAAUGGGCGAAAGUCUGAUACAGCCAUGACGCGUGUGAGAAGAAGGUCUUCGGAUUGUAAAGCACGUUAAGUUGGGAGGAAGGGCAGUAAGUUAAUACGUUGCUGUUUUGACGUUACCAACAGAAUAAGCACCGGCUAACUUCGUG
rnacentral:rRNA from 1 species